ACUUACGGCCAUACCAUCCUGAAUACGCCGGAUCUCGUCUGAUCUAGGAAGCUAAGCAGGGUCGGGCCUGGUUAGUACUUGGAUGGGAGACCGCCUGGGAAUACCAGGUGCUGUAAGUG
rnacentral:rRNA from 1 species